rnacentral:rRNA from 1 species
CGUGUAGGCGGAUGCGUAAGUCCGGUGUAAAAGCCCCCGGCUCAACCGGGGAAGGCCAUCGGAUACUGCGUGUCUGGAGUGCGGGAGGGGAGAGUGGAACUCUUGGUGGAGCGGUGAAAUGCGUAGAUAUCAAGAGGAACGCCGGUGGCGAAAGCGGCUCUCUGGCCCGCAACUGACGCUGAGGCGCGAAAGCUAGGGGAGCAAACGGGAUUAGAUACCCCGGUAGUCCUAGCCCUAAACGAUGGGUACUAAGUAGGGGCGACUCCGAUGUUGUCUCUGCUGCAGCCAACGUGCUAAGUACCCCGCCUGGGGAGUACGGUCGCAAGGCUGAA